rnacentral:rRNA from 1 species
AUUGAACGCUGGCGGCAUGCCUUACACAUGCAAGUCGAACGGCAGCAUAGGAGCUUGCUCCUGAUGGCGAGUGGCGAACGGGUGAGUAAUAUAUCGGAACGUGCCCUAGAGUGGGGGAUAACUAGUCGAAAGAUUAGCUAAUACCGCGUACGAUCUAAGGAUGAAAGUGGGGGAUCGCAAGACCUCAUGCUCGUGGAGCGGCCGAUAUCUGAUUAGCUAGUUGGUGAGGUAAAAGCUCACCAAGGCGACGAUCAGUAGCUGGUCUGAGAGGACGACCAGCCACACUGGGACUGAGACACGGCCCAGACUCCUACGGGAGGCAGCAGUGGGGAAUUUUGGACAAUGGGGGCAACCCUGAUCCAGCAAUGCCGCGUGAGUGAAGAAGGCCUUCGGGUUGUAAAGCUCUUUUGUCAGGGAAGAAACGGUUUUGGCUAAUAUCCAGAACUAAUGACGGUACCUGAAGAAUAAGCACCGGCUAACUACGUGCCAGCCGCCGCCGUAA